ensembl:lncRNA
GGAUCAACUACAGAACUACUUAAAAAUAACAUUAAAUGUGAAAACUGAGUUUAAAAUGUGAGAAAUCAAGAAAACUCUGUUUCUGAAUUACAAUAUACCUAAAGACAUUUUAAGAGUAUUUUAUCAUCAAUAAACAUUUUUUUUGCAAUUGUCAUUCUUUACUGCACUGUAAGUCUGAGGGAAUGUGAAAAAAAGAAAGUAUGUCAGGAUUUAAUUUGGUCCAUUAAUGAACUGGAUUGCUGUGAUUUGUUAUUGCUGUGAUCUCCGGUGACUGACAGAUUUUCCUGCUCCAUCAUCAGAGGAGAGAAGAGAUGAUGUUGUGAGGAGAAGGAAAGUUAUUCAGAUGAAAGAUCAGGAGGACACAUCAAUUAGAAAUACAUUAUGUGCACAGAUAAAUCAUUUUAGCACUGCAAUAUUCCAUAAAAAAUGAUAACUGUCAACUUUAAUUUCAUGGUGACUUUUUAAUAUGAUUUUAAGUAGUUCUAUAGUUGAUCCUAUAUCUUAAUCUACUUUGUUAAUCUUUUUUCUUCUGUUUUUGUUUUACUGGGGCAGUCGUGGCCUAAUGGUGAGAGUCAGGCUUGUAACCUGAAGGUGGUGGGUUCGAGUCUCAAUGUCCAGCAGGGAUUGUAGGUGGAGAGAGUGAAUAUCCAGCGCUCUCUUCUACCUUCAAUACCACGACUGAGAUGAGACCCUCGAGCAAGAACUGAACCCCUAAUUGCUCCGGUAGUGAGUUCACUAAUGUGUGUGUGUGUGUGUGUGUGUGUGUGUUAAAUGCAGAGCACAAGUUCAGAGUAUGGGACACUAGACUUGGCCACACAUCACAUCCUUUCCUUUCCUUUUCCUGAAAGUAAACAGUAAUCUUUAAUCUCACUGUAACUGCUGUAGAGUAUAAUGAUACUAACUCUAGUUUCUCCAGCUUGAAUUGUGUGUUCAUCAGUAGAUCACUGAGGUUUUUCACUCCAGAGUCUCCUAGUAGUUUAUUCCAGCUCAGGUUCAGUUCUCUCAGGUGUGAUGGGUUUGAUUUCAGAGCUGAAGUCAGGAUGAGACACUGUUUCUCUGUAAUACUGCAUCCCCACAGACUGAAGACAGAAAGAGAAAACACAAUGAAUCAGACACGUUAUGUUCAUGUGUGAGUAAUUCAUCAUGUGUUAACAAGAAAAAUUUAACAAAAAAUUAAAAAAAAUAACAUUUCCAAAACCUUACAUUUACAGUAGGUGGAAAUCCAAAACGUCACUUCUACCACCGCUCGUACCGCCGCCGCGGCGNUGCCAAAACCUUACAUUUACAUUACAUUUAGUCAUUCAGCAGACAAUUUUAUCCAAUAAAAGCAAUCAAAAUCAAUGAAAGAGCA